rnacentral:rRNA from 1 species
GAUGCCUUGGCAGUCAUAGGCGAUGAAGGACGUGGUAGCCUGCGAAAAGCUACGGGGAGCUGGCAAACAAGCUUUGAGCCGUAGAUGUCCGAAUGGGGAAACCCACCCUUUUAGGGGUAUCGCACAGUGAAUACAUAGCUGUGCGAGGCGAACCUGGAGAACUGAAACAUCUAAGUACCCAGAGGAAAAGAAAUCAACCGAGAUUCCGAGAGUAGUGGCGAGCGAAAUUGGAACAGCCUGUACGAUUUAGCAUUUGAGUUAACAAAACGGUCUUGAAAGUCCGGCCAU